CAUCGCACACCCACCAUAGCUCCUACUUUCCUCCAUACCUUGUCCGCAAAGUGAUCCACAUAUUGACUUCUUAUACUAUUAAAAUAUGCUUGCGGCGUUAACAAUGGAUAUUUUUGCCGAUAAAGGUCUAAAUGCCAUUGGUAAACCUACUUGUACAUGGAUUUUUUCAUUCGAUACAUAUUGAAGUGAAAGUCACAUUGAUAAG
rnacentral:lncRNA from 1 species